rfam:Lactobacillus silagei DNA, scaffold: sequence06, strain: IWT126.
GGAGAGUUGUCCGAGUUGGCCGAAGGAGCACCACUGGAAAUGGUGUAAACGAGUAAAAGCUUGUUUCGAGGGUUCGAAUCCCUCACUCUCCG